GACGAACGCUGGCGGCGUGCUUAACACAUGCAAGUCGAACGGAAAGGCCCUGCUUUUGUGGGGUGCUCGAGUGGCGAACGGGUGAGUAACACGUGAGUAACCUGCCCUUGACUUUGGGAUAACUUCAGGAAACUGGGGCUAAUACCGGAUAGGAGCUCCUGCUGCAUGGUGGGGGUUGGAAAGAUUCGGCGGUUGGGGCUGGACUCGCGGCUUAUCAGCUUGUUGGUGGGGUAGUGGCUUACCAAGGCUUUGACGGGUAGCCGGCCUGAGAGGGUGACCGGCCACAUUGGUCCUGCGAGACGGCCCAGACGCCUACGGGAGGCAGCAGUGGGGAAUAUUGCACAAUGGGCGGAAGCCUGAUGCAGCAACGCCGCGUGCGGGAUGACGGCCUUCGGGUUGUAAACCUCUUUGGCCUGUAACGAAGCGUGAGUGACGGUAAUGGGUAAAGAAGCACCGGCUAACUACGUG
rnacentral:rRNA from 1 species